ACGGGAGGCAGCAGUGGGGAAUAUUGGGCAAUGGGCGCAAGCCUGACCCAGCAACGCCGCGUGAAGGAAGAAGGCUUUCGGGUUGUAAACUUCUUUUAUGAGGGACGAAGGACGUGACGGUACCUCAUGAAUAAGCCACGGCUAACUACGUGCCAGCAGCCGCGGUAAUACGUAGGUGGCGAGCGUUGUCCGGAUUUACUGGGUGUAAAGGGCGCGUAGGCGGGAUGGCAAGUCAGAUGUGAAAUCCCCGGGCUUAACCCGGGAACUGCAUUUGAAACUGUUAUUCUUGAGUAUCGGAGAGGCAAGCGGAAUUCCCAGUGUAGCGGUGAAAUGCGUAGAUAUUAGGAGGAACACCAGUGGCGAAGGCGGCUUGCUGGACGACAACUGACGCUGAGGCGCGAAAGCGUGGGGAGCAAACAGGAUUAGAUACCCUGGUA
rnacentral:rRNA from 1 species